rnacentral:rRNA from 1 species
AUCUGGCUUAUGGAGGGGGAUAACGACGGGAAACUGUCGCUAAUACCGCGUAAUGUCUAAGGACUAGAGGGUGGGACUUUCGGGCCACCUGCCAUAAGAUGAGCCCAAGUGGGAUUAGGUAGUUGGUGGGGUAAAGGCCUACCAAGCCGACGAUCUCUAGCUGGUCUGAGAGGAUGACCAGCCACACUGGAACUGAGACACGGUCCAGACUCCUACGGGAGGCAGCAGUGGGGAAUAUUGCACAAUGGGGGGAACCCUGAUGCAGCCAUGCCGCGUGAAUGAAGAAGGCCUUCGGGUUGUAAAGUUCUUUCGGUGAUGAGGAAGGGUGAUGUUUUAAUAGAGCAUUACAUUGACGUUAGUCACAGAAGAAGCACCGGCUAACUCCGUGCCAGCAGCCGCGGUAAUACGGAGGGUGCGAGCGUUAAUCGGAAUGACUGGGCGUAAAGGGCACGCAGGCGGUGACUUAAGUGAGAUGUGAAAGCCCCGAGCUUAACUUGGGAAUUGCAUUUCAUACUGGGUUGCUAGAGUAUUUUAGGGAGGGGUAGAAUUCCACGUGUAGCGGUGAAAUGCGUAGAGAUGUGGAGGAAUACCGAAGGCGAAGGCAGCCCCUUGGGAAAAUACUGACGCUCAUGUGCGAAAGCGUGGGGAGCAAACAGGAUUAGAUACCCUGGUAGUCCACGCUGUAAACGCUGUCGAUUUGGGGAUUGGGCUUUAUGUUUGGUGCCCGUAGCUAACGUGAUAAAUCGACCGCCUGGGGAGUACGGCCGCAAGGUUAAAACUCAAAUGAAUUGACGGGGGCCCGCACAAGCGGUGGAGCAUGUGGUUUAAUUCGAUGCAACGCGAAGAACCUUACCUACUCUUGACAUCCUAAGAAG